CUGUUUUAUGAAAGUGAAGAAUUAGGUUAGCAGUGCUCUUGACAAGAAGGGAAAGAAUUUUAGUGACACCAGACUCAUACAUUUCAGGUAUCAUUGCCUCCUUAGAGCACCUACCAGUACUUUUU